rnacentral:misc_RNA from 1 species
GAUGAAGAACGUAGCGAAAUGCGAUACUUGGUGUGAAUUGCAGAAUCCCGUGAACCAUCGAGUCUUUGAACGCAAGUUGUGCCCGAAGCCAUUAGGCCGAGGGCACGCCUGCCUGGGCGUCACACGUCGUUGCCCCCCCCAUCUACUCCUUCGGGAUUGCGGGGGGCGGAUGAUGGCCUCCCGUGCGCCUCGCCGCGCGGUUGGCAUAAAUGCCAAGUCCUCGGCGACGCACGCCACGACAAUCGGUGGUUGCGAAACCUCGGUUGCCCGUCGUGUGCGGUCGUCGCGCAUCGAGGGCUCGAAAAAAUUGCCGAGUUCCGGCUCGGCUUUCAACGCGACCCCAGGUCAGGCGGGGUUACCCGCUGAAUUUAAGCAUAUCAAUAAGCGGAGGA